rnacentral:misc_RNA from 4 species
AACGCACAUUGCGCCCCGUGGUAUUCCGCGGGGCAUGCCUGUUCGAGCGUCAUUAUGACCAAUCCCGCUCGCGGGGUCUUGGGCACCGCCUCUGGGCGGGCCUCAAAAUCAGUGGCGGUACGGCCGGGCUCUGAGCGUAGUAAAUCUUCUCGCUACAGGGUCCCGGGCGGCACUGGCCAGCAACCCCCAAUCUUUUACAGGUUGACCUCGGAUCAGGUAGGGAUACCCGCUGAACUUAA